CUACGGGUGGCAGCAGUAAGGAAUAUUGCACAAUGGGGGAAACCCUGAUGCAGCAACGCCGCGUGGACGAAGAAGGCCUUCGGGUCGUAAAGUCCUUUUCUGAGGGAAGAGGAAGGACGGUACCUCAGGAAUAAGUCUCGGCUAACUACGUGCCAGCAGCCGCGGUAAAACGUAGGAGGCGAGCGUUAUCCGGAUUCACUGGGCGCAAAGGGCAAGUAGGCGGUUGUUUAAGUUAGGUGUGACAUCUCUCGGCUUAACUGGGAGGGAGCGCUUAAAACUAGGCAACUAGAGGGCGGAAGAAGGGGGUAGAACUCCAAAUGUAGCGGUGGAAUGCUCAGAUAUUUGGAAGAAUACCAGUGGCGAAGGCGACCCCCCGGUCCGUGCCUGACGCUGAGAGGCGAAAGCUAGGGUAGCGAACGGGAUUAGAUACCCUGGUAGUC
rnacentral:rRNA from 1 species